UUGUUGGUAAGGUAAAAGCUUACCAAGGCUUCGAUCAGUAGCUGGUCUGAGAGGACGACCAGCCACACUGGGACUGAGACACGGCCCAGACUCCUACGGGAGGCAGCAGUGGGGAAUUUUGGACAAUGGGGGCAACCCUGAUCCAGCCAUGCCGCGUGAGUGAAGAAGGCCUUCGGGUUGUAAAGCUCUUUCAGCCGGAACGAAACGGUUACGGUUAAUACCCGUGACUACUGACGGUACCGGAAGAAGAAGCACCGGCUAACUACGUGCCAGCAGCCGCGGUAAUACGUAGGGUGCGAGCGUUAAUCGGAAUUACUGGGCGUAAAGCGUGCGCAGGUGGUUUUGUAAGUCAGAUGUGAAAGCCCCGGGCUCAACCUGGGAACUGCGUUUGAAACUACAAGACUAGAGUGUGACAGAGGGGGGUGGAAUUCCGCGUGUAGCAGUGAAAUGUGUAGAGAUGUGGAGGAACACCGAUGGCGAAGGCAGCCCCCUGGGUCAACACUGACGCUCAGGCACGAAAGCAUGGGGAGCAAACAGGAUUAGAUACCCUGGUAGUCCAUGCCCUAAACGAUGUCAACUAGUUGUCGGGCCUUUACGGGCUUGGUAACGUAGCUAACGCGUGAAGUUGACCGCCUGGGGAGUACGAUCGCAAGAUUAAAACUCAAAUGAAUUGACGGGGACCCGCACAAGCGGUGGAUUAUGUGGAUUAAUUCGAUGCAACGCGAAAAACCUUACCUACCCUUGACAUGUAUCGAAGCCCGCAGAAAAGCGGGGGUGCCCGAAAGGGAACGAUAACACAGGUGCUGCAUGGCUGUCGUCAGCUCGUGUCGUGAGAUGUUGGGUUAAGUCCCGCAACGAGCGCAACCCUUGUCAUUAAUUGCCAUCAUUUAGUUGGGCACUUUAAUGAGACUGCCGG
rnacentral:rRNA from 1 species